rnacentral:lncRNA from 1 species
GGAGCAUUCUGAGUGACCGGGUGUGGUGGGGUUGUAGACCGGAAAGUACCGGCUAGUCAGAGAACAGAGUCUGAUGGGCGAUGGAGGCUUUCCCUGCCUUUUUCCAGGCCUGCCUUUUUCCUUCCCACCUCUUGACUCUGCAGCUCUUGGGGUGAAGCACUGUUCCUGACACUACAGACGGUUACCAUCUGCUUCCUGGUCAUGCACUACAGAGGAGAGACCGUGAAAGGUGCCGGGGAUUGGCUGGAGAGCAGGCAUUGUGUCUUGGGGACUUUGCUGGGGACUCAGGAGGCUCAAGAGGGCUCCUUGUCUCCCUGACCCCCAGGAGUUGCUUUCCUUGUCUGCUUUGCCGUGGUCCUGUUGGCGCUGCUUUCCCCAGUCAUGCCUCUGGCUGUGCCCACCCUGCUCCAGGCCUCCAAUGUACCUGCUGUGGUGGUGGGGAAGUUGCUCCAGGCAGCCACUAACUACCACAACGGACACACAGGCCAGCUUUCAGCCAUUACAGUGUUUAUGCUGUUUGGGGGCUCCUUGGCCCGGAUCUUCACUUCUGUUCAGGUGAGUGCACCUUCUGCCCUCUAGAGGGCAGUAAAACCUCACUCUCAGCCAAGUGGAGAGGUAAGCUGCCUGCCUGCCAGCCCUGGAACCUUUCUAGAUCUGUGCUGUCUCUCAUACCAGGAAACUGGAGAUCCCCUCAUGGCUGGAGUCUUUGUGGUCUCUUCUCU